ensembl:lncRNA
UAUCAAAUGAGGCACCAGUGUUGUGGCUUGAAACAGAUCUCACACCCAGUGACCUUCUAGGGUCGUGGGUAAGGCCGACCACUGAGCCAGCAGCCUCUCUGAUCAUCUCAUUGAUUCUGUUUGUAUCUUCCACAAAGCACAGCAUAGAAGAAGACACUGCUUGAGAACCCCUUAAAAACAUUGGGACGCUUUCUGCUAAUGUCAAAGAAACUAAGCUUCCUCAAGAAGGAAAGUCUUGAAUGAGCUUUAUAUUAGAUAAAGUCCAGUCUCCAACCAUUUGUCUGUUGCACAGUUUGAGCCAGAAUACAAACUUUUGUGCAUAAAAUGUUUUUUUUGCAUUAAGAACUUUACAGACAAUGUGGCCCAAGAAAUUCCCCUUUGACUGGCUUGGACCAUGUCAACCCCUCAAGGUGUUUAAUGUGGCUGGGACCUGAUAACGGAGAGUAAUGACAGGGCAGUAUUGAAGACACAAGAAGAAACUCGUUGGAUAGGGAACGCGUAGGAAGCAUUCCACUCCUGAUUUGGUGACUCAAGAUGGAAGAGAUUGUGAUGAGAAUAAGGGGAGACGAGGCUUUGUGACUUAAAGGAUGAGUGUUGCAUCGGGAAGAAGAAAAUGAACAAAAAAUAAUCAAAUAGGUCAGAUAGACCCUCUUCAUCUCACAGAGAAUAGUAACAGUAGCAAUAAGUUCACCGUGCACAUUACAAGUGCUAUCUCCUAAUCAGUAUUGCGUUUGAUCUAACACAAUCUGUCAAACGUUUUGAAUGAGCUUGCAGCAGUGUUAAAGGGCAAACAGGUGUGUUUGUGUGUCUGUCAGUGUAUAAACAAUCGUAUGACCAGGCUUGUGUGGAAUGUCGGAUCUCUGUUCCCGAUAAACGUCACAGGGUUUUUAGGUGUUGAGUUGACCAGGGUCAACAGAGGUUAACUGAGCCAAUGUGCCAUGAGGCUCACACAAAUGUGCCACAGAUGACACCAACGCAGAUUUUGGACUUUGGCCCCGAAACCCCCAAAUCCCUUAAAUCUGGAGCAAGACAGCCUUCAUUUUUUAAAUGCAUUUGUUUAGAUAACAGUCAGACGAACGAGUGAAGGAUGGUAAUGUGCCUCUCAUGUGUUGGAUUUACAGUCAGCGGGAAUUUCCAAAUGAACAGCUUUGAUAUUUCAUUCGUUAAAGAUGCGCAGAGGCAAAGUCAGGAUGUGGUGAGAGCCAUAAAGGAGGUUCUCUGAACGUGUGUGUCUGUGUGCAUGCGGUUCAUAUUCCACGCAG